rnacentral:rRNA from 1 species
GAUGAACGCUAGCGACAGGCCUAACACAUGCAAGUCGAGGGGCAGCACAUGAGUAGCAAUACGAUGGUGGCGACCGGCGCACGGGUGAGUAACACGUAUGCAACCUACCGGUAAAAGGGGGAUAGCCUCUCGAAAGAGAGAUUAAUACCGCAUAAUAUCUCUGGAUGGCAUCAUUUAGAGAUUAAACAUUUAUGGUUUACCGAUGGGCAUGCGUAUGAUUAGCUAGUAAGUGAGGUAACGGCUCACCUAGGCAACGAUCAUUAGGGGUUCUGAGAGGAAGGUCCCCCACACUGGUACUGAGACACGGACCAGACUCCUACGGGAGGCAGCAGUGAGGAAUAUUGGUCAAUGGGCGAGAGCCUGAACCAGCCAAGUCGCGUGAAGGAUGAAGGUUCUAUGGAUUGUAAACUUCUUUUGUAAGGGAAUAAAAAGAGCUACGUGUAGUUUAUUGUAUGUACUUUACGAAUAAGGAUCGGCUAACUCCGUGCCAGCAGCCGCCGUAA